CUUCGUCAUUGGCAUCACUCCGUGCCUUCUCCACAUUUUCUAGAGCUGCUUUUGUGUGUAAGACGAUGCGUUCAGAGCCGCAGGAACACACAGCCCCAGGAGGACGGCUUCCACUUAAUUAGCUUAAUUCCACAAUUCCCUGAGCCUCACGUCGCCCGACCUGGUGGCUGUUUAGAGGAGCCCUGCCUCUGGGCACCGGCAAAUUAUUUUCACAGGGAAGCUAGUGGAGAGAGUGUAAUUGGUGAUUAUGCUAAUUCCUUCCUUUUCUGUGUCAGAGACUGCUCUGCAGGGAGGCCAGGCUCCCGGGAAGGUGUGUAUGAAGGUCUAGCAAGUUCUAGGCUCCUUCCUCCACAGCAGCCCUCCAUGUCACAGGCCCUGAAGCAGUGCGGAGACAGCCCACAGGAUGCGUGGCGACAGCAGGAGAGGCCCCUCCCUGACCCCCAACCGCCCCCAACGCAGAAGCUCAAGGAGGCUGCGGCCUACUUGGUGAGAGGCCCAGAGGCUGCUGCAGGUAGAGAGGGCUGCGGCGCCCGCGGUGGUGGGGAAGGGUCAUUUGGUCUGAAUGUGGUUUCCAAACUGCCCCGGUCGGCUUUAUCCUCCCUGAUGGAAGGCAGUAGGGCAGCAGCACAGGUGGGCGCCAGGGCAGGCGGGGCAAGGGACGGGAGCUCUCUGUGACUCCUUUGCCUCUGGAAAACGGGGACGGCACUGAGCCUCGUCUGCAGCAGUGUCGCAUGCAUGAGCGAGAUGUGCAAUGUCAGCUCCGGAAGCGACAGCUCGGCUGCCUCACUGCCUGGCCUGCGCCCUCCACAGGAAGUCCUCCUCCUGCCUUCCCUUCACACCUCCUUGGCAACUGUCCAGAGUCCAGGGAGUGAGCUGCCUGGGAAGAAUGCAGCGACAAAAAUACUUAGCCGCAUCCGGAACUUCCCUGGUGGCAGCUGGUCACCGACCAUGGGCUUCCCCUGGCAACUGUUGUGUUGGUGAAUGAAUUCCGAGUCUGACCCUGGCUCUGGCACGCCCCUGGGGGGUCUUGGAGAAGUCACCCAAACUCUCAGCCUCAGUUCCCACCCCUGUCAACUAGGGCUAAUAAUACCUCCCCAAAUGCCCCCUGGGAGUAUUAAAUAAUAUAAUGUCGAUG
rnacentral:lncRNA from 1 species